ACCCCAAUCCGCGACGUGCAGAAUCUCACGACUCAUAACCCAGACAAGACCCUUCAAGUUUGGUUACGUAGAAUUACACAUUCCCAGUUUCUGCUCGCGUUUUGAGUCAUUUAUCAAAACAAAAUGUUAAUGCAAGUCGCUACGAGAGCUAUUAGACCCCAUGUUUCCGCCGCCGCACGGACUAUACUGACCAGACAGCCUUUGCAGAGAGUUGGGAAUCGUACUGUCUUCUACACACAACGAAAAAGACCGGCUACAACAGAAGAAAAUGUUACUAUGUGGGUAGGCCUGGGAACUUUUUUCCUUUCUGUUGCAGUGUGUGCAAAGAUGGGAACCUUCGAUCUUUCCUACAAAAGCUCCGACUAGAUAGACGUGAUGUACAAUUAUUGGCAUUAUCAAGUGUUUUACGAAGAGAAGUUUAUAUCAGAUGUAUACAUAGAUCAGAGCCACAGUAAUCGUGAAUAUAUAACGAUACAUUUGCGUUGUAAUAAAGAAAUAUUUUCGAGAAAAA